rnacentral:rRNA from 1 species
UACGUAGGGUGCAAGCGUUGUCCGGAAUUAUUGGGCGUAAAGAGCUCGUAGGCGGUUCGUCGCGUCGGCUGUGAAAUCCCGAGGCUCAACCUCGGGUCUGCAGUCGAUACGGGCGGACUGGAGUUCGGCAGGGGAGACUGGAAUUCCUGGUGUAGCGGUGAAAUGCGCAGAUAUCAGGAGAACACCAAUGGCGAAGGCAGCUCUCUGGGACGGUACUGACGCUGAGACGCGAAAGCGUGGGGAGCGAACAGG